GUGAACUGCAGUGUUUUUUGGUCAAAUUCUAUCGUUUAGGCCUUUAAAAUUACAUUUUAUUGUUUUCGAGUUAUUUUUUUAAUUUUCCUUACUAGUUUUCCUUUUCCGUUUUGGAUUCCGCUUUUAGGAUUUUGUUAUUUUAACGUUUGUUAUGAUGUGAAGCAGCAGUUUUUAUGAACAACAGACUUUUUCUUAUUUUCCAAAAUUCUCUUAAUUAGAAUUUUG
rnacentral:lncRNA from 1 species